rnacentral:rRNA from 1 species
UACGGAGGGUGCGAGCGUUAAUCGGAAUUACUGGGCGUAAAGCGCNCGCAGGCGGUUUGUUAAGAUAGAUGUGAAAGCCCCGGGCUCAACCUGNGAUGGUCAUUUAGAACUGGCAGACUAGAGUCUUGGAGAGGGGAGUGGAAUUCCAGGUGUAGCGGUGAAAUGCGUAGAUAUCUGGAGGAACAUCANUGGCGAAGGCGANUUNCUGGCCAAAGACUGACGCUCAGGUGCGAAAGUGUGGGUAGCGAACAGG